ensembl:lncRNA
UUUUUGUCACCCAAAUUGUUUUGUGUGGUUGUGCACUGGAGCAUGGUCAGUUUACAAGGAUCUAUGCUGUCAGAGAAUAUUGACCCUCUCCCAGCAGCCAUUUCUAGGAUUUACUCAACAGGACAGAACUCAUGCCUGGAAACCUGGCCAACUUUCCCCCGUGUAAUGAGGUCAUGGAAUGUAAAAAAGAAUCAACUAUAUCCAUUUGCUAGACAAGCAUAAUUCAUUACUGCAUUCUAAAUCUUAUUACUAUACUCACGGCGAGGGCAGAAGAGGGCAACAGAUUCCCUGGAACUGGAGUUACAGAUAUUUAUGAGCCACCGUGUGAAUGCUGGCAAUAAAACCCAGGACCUCUAGAAGAACAGCCAAAGCUCUUAACUAGUAGCCCAUCUCUUUAAUUUCUCAAACUAUAUCAUUUUCUGUAUUGCUUCUGAAAUGACAAAAUUAGUGAAAUGAUUUGUACUCAUGCCAUACACUUACAUAAUUUGAAAUAAAUUUUUAGUCUCUGUAUCAAAAGGAUAUUGAGUGAAAACAGACAAGUAUAAUACUUUCUGCACUUAACCUAAGAUAUCACAUAAACUUCUUUAGGUUGUUUGGGCAAGUAUGACUUGGAGAUAGUUAGGGAAUUGCAGUUUUUGGAAAGAAUAUAAGAGGUUCACUGUAGAAAAGCAAAAUGACUUUACAUUUGAUUGCAUUAUGGAAUUUGAGGUGCUUUUACAUAAGGAUCACUUAUUCCUGUUGGAAUAUUGGCCAAAUUAUGUCUGUGUCCCAAAUCUGCUUAGUCACCAUCACUGCUGCCUUUGAACUAGGAAAUCAUUUAUGUAUUUUAGAAAAAGGUUGGCAACUAUUGUGUAAGUGCCAGAGCCUAUUUUUGGCACAAGGAAAUAAAUAAUAAGUAACAGAGGUUCUCUGACAUCAGAAUUAUCUCAAUAUUAAAUACCAGGAGCAAUCAAUUGAACACAAAAUCCGAAUUACAUUUGAUUUAUCUAGCAAGGGUAGGUACAUAUAUAUUCUUCUGGAUAAAGAGUUUUAUAUUGAAACAUUCAUGCAUACUUUCAAAUAGUCAAGACAUGAAAAAUAAAGGAGCUUUGGAAAGUGAAUAAGCAUUUAAAAGUGACCAAAGGAAUUCUUCUUCUUCUCCCUCAAAUCCUUUACACUGCUCCUUUCUGCUGGAUCACAAUUUGUGAAUUUGAUAAGUCAUUUCCUAUAAAUAUGUGAGUUGGUAAUUCUGGCUUAAUUCGCCUCUUGGGACCUUUUGCCACUACUUUUAAUGCAUCCUCUUUGUCCAAAAGAGGAAGUACUAGUGAAAAAUUUUGGCAUAGGAACUUCAGGUAGAAGGUUAAUAGGAAAAAAUAUUAUUUUAUAGUAGGAUGGGCUAAUAGGAGUGUGUGUGUGAGAGUGAGUGUGUGUGUAUCUGUGUGUGUGUGGUGUGCACAUAUGUGUUCACAGGCACUUGUGUAGGCAUAUAUGUGUAGAACUGGGGAUGGUGCCAGGAAUCAUCCCGUAUCUCUCUUCAACCUUAUUCAUUGAGGCGCAAUCUCGCAGUCAAAUCUAAAUAUUACUGAUAUGCCUAGUCAAACUAGCUUCCUUGCUCUGGGGAUCCCAUGUUCACCUUCAAAGUAAGAAAAGAAGACCUUUCCUACCUUCCUGGAACUUUACAUAGGUUUUGAGGAGACUUGUUAUAAGCAAUAAAUCAUCUUCCCAGCACUGAGUUCAUCACGUUUUAUGUGGAGGCCACCUAUUCUACUCACAUAUAGAAUCAGCCUGAGGCAUAACAAAAGGCAUUUGCCAUGCUCAUUAUCCCAUUUGAUGCUCCUAGUAAUCUUCUAAAGACACAUAAUUAAAGCUAGUAAGUGGGAGAAUAGAAAACUGAAGUUUUUAUAUGAUCUUAGUAAUUUUCACAAAUUCCAGACCUGUGUUCUUUAUAAAUAAAUGUGUGUAUUUGUUUUCUGAAAACAUGGUUAAGCUUUUGAUUAUUUAGGGAGCCAUUUUUUAAAAAAAUAAAGAAGUGAACCUUCAUAGAGUUAAGAUUUUUGUUUGUUUUUUAAUCUGCCAGUUUUGAAACCUUCUGAACAGAACUUUAUGACUUUGUUUAAACAAAAAUAAACAACUGUUUUAGAUGAUGAAUUGUUUGCUUUCUUGUAUAUGUAUGACUAGAAAUAAACAGAUCUGUAUGCCUGAAAAAUAUCUGAAUUUUAUGGUAAAGUGUAAAGAGUUAAAGACACAU